rfam:Colletotrichum gloeosporioides Nara gc5 unplaced genomic scaffold scaffold120, whole genome shotgun sequence.
UCCGAUAUGGUGUAGUGGCCAACAUGAUGCCCUCUCAAGACCUUGAGUGGUUAGGCAUAGCCCCGAGUUCGAUUCUCGGUUUCGGAA